rnacentral:rRNA from 1 species
AGCGAACGUUGGCGGCGCGCCUAACACAUGCAAGUCGAACGCGAAAAGCCUUCGGGCUGAGUAGAGUGGCGCACGGGUGAGUAACACGUGAGUAAUCUACCCUGAGGAUCGGGAUAACACUCCGAAAGGAGUGCUAAUACCGAAUAAGACCACAGCCCCUGCGGGGGCAGUGAGAAAACGAAUGGGAAGUACCGAAACGGAACCUAUCACCACGGGAGUGAGCUCGCGGCCUAUCAGCUAGUUGGUGAGGUAAUAGGCUCACCAAGGCUAAGACGGGGUAGCUGGUCUGAGAGGAUGAUCAGCCACACUGGAACUGAGACACGGUCCAGACUCCUACGGGAGGCAGC